CUUCGCUCGCAUUACAAACUCAUCGCUGAAUGACAAAUCACCACUGCCUUUGAGAAGAGCUUCUGAAGAAGAGCAAAAGCCAUUCCAGUUUUCCGAUAUCACUGUUAUGGAAUCAUCACUCAACGACUCCAAUUUCUCCAAACCGCAUCCCGAUGUAAACUCCUCUUCCUCUCCACCACUCUCACAUUUCCCUCAACCAUCUCUACCUCCGUCGCUGCCCCACCGCCGUCACCGGACACUACUAUCACUGAACGAGUCUUCUUAGACUUAAGUAUAUGUCCUAAUUACUUCAAAAACAGGAAUCUAGGAGAUGAUCUAUCUAAUUGCGCUGAUUCUGAACCAAUUGGUCGACUUGUUUUAGGGCUUUACGGUAACCUAGUUCCGAUUACUGUUUCAAAUUUCAAAGCUAUGUGUACUGGUUCGUCUGGAUCGACUUAUAAGGGUACUUUGGUCCAGAAGAUAUUUCCGGGACAGUUUUUUAUGGCGGGGAGACAGGGGAGAAGAGAUAAAGGAGAAGUGAAACCGCCAUUGAAGUUAAUUAGGAAUGUGGAGUCAAUUGAAUCUAAAGCUUUUCUUUUGGAACAUUCUAGAGCUGGAGUUGUUUCAUUGCCUUUAGCUGAGAAUGAUGAUGAUGAUGAUCUUAAGCUGAAUCCAAAUUAUCAUAAUGUGGAGUUUUUGAUUACUACUGGACCUGGACCUUGUCCUCAGCUUGAUAGCAAAAACAUUGUUUUUGGAACUGUUCUUGAAGGUUUGGAUAUAGUGACAACCAUAGCUGCCAUUCCCACUUAUAAACCAUCCGAAAACAUUCGACAAUAUAAUGAUUUUGCUGAGCUUAUUGGAGAUGGAAGAGCAAAAACUGCCCGCGCAAUCUGGAAUAAACCACUCAAGACUGUUUAUAUCAGUGAUUGUGGAGAACUCAAAGUAGCAAAGCCUACACUUUCUCCUAGCCUACCUUGAUAUGUUCAGGUUCCUCAUUUUUAUUUCCAUAUCCACAUUGUUACCAUUACUUGUAAAGGUUUCUCUUUUCUGCAUGUUACAUUGACAGAAGAGGAUUUACAUAAUGCAG
rnacentral:misc_RNA from 1 species